CCUAGCUGUGGAGAAAAUGAUUCGGGAGAUCAGGAGAUCCCUGUCCGAGAAGUCUCCCUCUGCUCAGGGGAAUAUUCAUGUUGCCUCUGAGUCCUCAGGAGGGGAACUUGUCAACGAGGCUGCAGCAGAGGAAGCUUCAUCUGGCACCGAGAACUGCAGUGACAGUUCCCCAGAGCCUGAGGAGCCUGAUGCCAUCUGAGGGAUGUCUCCCGGAGGGCUGCCCUGCACAGCAGGAAGAGACAGAGGGAGGGCCUGUGACCAUCAGGCAG